UUUCCGUAGGUGAACCUGCGGAAGGAUCAUUCAUAAUAAAUGUUUUAUGGCACUUUUUUAAAUCCAUAUCCACCUUGUGUGCAAUGUCAGGGUUGAUUUUUCUCUCGAGAGGAUCAACCCCAAACAUCAACUAUAUCUCAACUCUUUGUCCGAAAAAUAUUAUGAAUAAAACAAUUCAAAAUACAACUUUCAACAACGGAUCUCUUGGCUCUC
rnacentral:misc_RNA from 1 species